AUUGAACGCUGGCGGCAUGCCUUACACAUGCAAGUCGAACGGUAACAGGUCUUCGGAUGCUGACGAGUGGCGAACGGGUGAGUAAUACAUCGGAACGUGCCCGAUCGUGGGGGAUAACGGAGCGAAAGCUUUGCUAAUACCGCAUACGAUCUACGGAUGAAAGCAGGGGACCGCAAGGCCUUGCGCGGACGGAGCGGCCGAUGGCAGAUUAGGUAGUUGGUGGGAUAAAAGCUUACCAAGCCGACGAUCUGUAGCUGGUCUGAGAGGACGACCAACCACACUGGGACUGAGACACGGCCCAGACUCCUACGGGAGGCAGCAGUGGGGAAUUUUGGACAAUGGGCGAAAGCCUGAUCCAGCCAUGCCGCGUGCAGGAUGAAGGCCUUCGGGUUGUAAACUGCUUUUGUACGGAACGAAAAGACUCUUUCUAAUAAAGAGGGUCCAUGACGGUACCGUAAGAAUAAGCACCGGCUAACUACGUG
rnacentral:rRNA from 1 species